rnacentral:rRNA from 1 species
CCCGUAGAUAUUCUGGACUGCACGUGUGCUACACUGAUGCGCUCAGCGAGUUUUUUUGCCUGGAAAGGUAAAGUGAAUUCUUAAUACGCAUCGUGACUGGCAUAGAUUAUUGUAAUUAUUAGUCUCCAACAAGGAAUUCCUAGUAAGCGCGUGUCGUCAACUCGCGCUGAUUACGUCACUGCCGUUUGUACACACCGCCCGUCGCUCCUACCGAUUGGGUGAUUCGGUGAACUUCUCUGCGCAUGAUACGCACAGUUUCUGUUGUGUUCUAUGCUUGUUUUGUGAACCGCAUCACUUAGAGGAAGGAGAAGUCGUAACA